rnacentral:rRNA from 1 species
UACAGAGGGGGCAAGCGUUGUUCGGAAUUACUGGGCGUAAAGGGCGCGUAGGCGGCCUGCUAAGUCGAACGUGAAAUCCCUGGGCUCAACCCAGGAACUGCGUCCGAUACUGGUUGGCUUGAAUCCGGGAGAGGGAUGUGGAAUUCCAGGUGUAGCGGUGAAAUGCGUAGAUAUCUGGAGGAACACCGGUGGCGAAGGCGGCCAUCUGGACGACAACUGACGCUGAGACGCGAAAGCGUGGGGAGCAAACAGG